rnacentral:rRNA from 1 species
AUUGAACGCUGGCGGCAUGCCUUACACAUGCAAGUCGAACGGCAGCACGGGGCAACCUGGUGGCGAGUGGCGAACGGGUGAGUAAUGCAUCGGAACGUACCUUUCAGUGGGGGAUAACGUAGCGAAAGUUACGCUAAUACCGCAUAUUCUGUGAGCAGGAAAGCAGGGGAUCGGAAGACCUUGCGCUGAUUGAGCGGCCGAUGUCAGAUUAGCUAGUUGGUGCGGGAAAGGCUCACCAAGGCGACGAUCUGUAGCGGGUCUGAGAGGAUGAUCCGCCACACUGGAACUGAGACACGGUCCAGACUCCUACGGGAGGCAGCAGUGGGGAAUUUUGGACAAUGGGGGCAACCCUGAUCCAGCCAUGCCGCGUGAGUGAAGUAGGCCUUCGGGUUGUAAAGCUCUUUCGGCCGGGAAGAAAUCGCACGGGCUAAUACCCUGUGUGGAUGACGGUACCGGAAUAAGAAGCACCGGCUAACUACGUGCCAGCCGCCGCGGUAAUAC